rnacentral:sRNA from 1 species
CGUGGCCCCUCGGGGUCACCCAGGAAGACAAGCAACUUUCUCCCAUACUUCUCGGUCUGUCUGCCUUCCCCACUCAGCUUUGAAUGAGACGCAGGGAGAGGGGGCGCGAGGGGCCUCGGGGCUAGGGGAGGAGCCGCGAAAGCUGCCCCCGGAGGUGGGCCUGGACCCGCGCGGACAGCGGGGCACCCCCCACUCCCUUCCCGGCGCUCCAGGAACGUCGGGCCCCGGGGUUCUGCGGCUGUUAGGGACAGAGGCAAAGAAGGGCAGGACGGUCUGGUUUCCCGUGGAUGUUCCCGCCCGAGAAAGACAGCAAGUUGUGUGUGCGCCCGGGACGCGGGAGGGAAGGUAGCCGCCGCCCGCCAGCCAUGGACCAUCAUCUUUAGUGCAGAGGAUGGAAAGUUGAUCUUCAGUAAGACUGAAGAUCCAUUCGGCAUUACGGAACUGU